rnacentral:rRNA from 1 species
CCUUAGAGUUUGAUCCUGGCUCAGGAUGAACGCUAGCUACAGGCUUAACACAUGCAAGUCGAGGGGCAGCAUCAUCAAAGCUUGCUUUGAUGGAUGGCGACCGGCGCACGGGUGAGUAACACGUAUCCAACCUGCCGACAACACUGGGAUAGCCUUUCGAAAGAAAGAUUAAUACCGGAUGGCAUAGUUUUUCCGCAUGGGAUAAUUAUUAAAGAAUUUCGGUUGUCGAUGGGGAUGCGUUCCAUUAGGCAGUUGGCGGGGUAACGGCCCACCAAACCAACGAUGGAUAGGGGUUCUGAGAGGAAGGUCCCCCACAUUGGAACUGAGACACGGUCCAAACUCCUACGGGAGGCAGCAGUGAGGAAUAUUGGUCAAUGGACGAGAGUCUGAACCAGCCAAGUAGCGUGAAGGAUGACUGCCCUAUGGGUUGUAAACUUCUUUUAUACGGGAAUAAAGUUAGCCACGUGUGGCUUUUUGUAUGUACCGUAUGAAUAAGGAUCGGCUAACUCCGUGCCAGCAGCCGCGGUAAUACGGAGGAUCCGAGCGUUAUCCGGAUUUAUUGGGUUUAAAGGGAGCGUAGGCGGGUUGUUAAGUCAGUUGUGAAAGUUUGCGGCUCAACCGUAAAAUUGCAGUUGAUACUGGCGACCUUGAGUGCAACAGAGGUAGGCGGAAUUCGUGGUGUAGCGGUGAAAUGCUUAGAUAUCACGAAGAACUCCGAUUGCGAAGGCAGCUUACUGGAUUGUAACUGACGCUGAUGCUCGAAAGUGUGGGUAUCAAACAGGAUUAGAUACCCUGGUAGUCCACACAGUAAACGAUGAAUACUCGCUGUUGGCGAUAUACGGUCAGCGGCCAAGCGAAAGCAUUAAGUAUUCCACCUGGGGAGUACGCCGGCAACGGUGAAACUCAAAGGAAUUGACGGGGGCCCGCACAAGCGGAGGAACAUGUGGUUUAAUUCGAUGAUACGCGAGGAACCUUACCCGGGCUUAAAUUGCAACUGACUGAACCGGAAACGGUUCUUUCUUCGGACAGUUGUGAAGGUGCUGCAUGGUUGUCGUCAGCUCGUGCCGUGAGGUGUCGGCUUAAGUGCCAUAACGAGCGCAACCCUUAUCGAUAGUUACUAGCAGGUCAUGCUGAGGACUCUAUUGAGACUGCCGUCGUAAGAUGUGAGGAAGGUGGGGAUGACGUCAAAUCAGCACGGCCCUUACGUCCGGGGCUACACACGUGUUACAAUGGGGGGUACAGAAGGCAGCUACACGGCGACGUGGUGCUAAUCCCGAAAGCCUCUCUCAGUUCGGAUUGGAGUCUGCAACCCGACUCCAUGAAGCUGGAUUCGCUAGUAAUCGCGCAUCAGCCACGGCGCGGUGAAUACGUUCCCGGGCCUUGCACACACCGCCCGUCAAG